rnacentral:rRNA from 1 species
UACAGAGGUCUCAAGCGUUGUUCGGAUUCAUUGGGCGUAAAGAGCUCGUAGGCGGCUCUGUAAGUCGGGUGUGAAACCUCCAGGCUCAACCUGGAGACGCCACCCGAUACUGCUGUGGCUUGAGUCCGGUAGAGGAGCGUAGAAUUCCUGGUGUAGCGGUGAAAUGCGCAGAUAUCAGGAGGAAUACCAGCGGCGAAGGCGGCGCUCUGGGCCGGAACUGACGCUGAGGAGCGAAAGCGUGGGUAGCAAACAGG